rnacentral:rRNA from 1 species
GACGAACGCUGGCGGCGUGCUUAACACAUGCAAGUCGAACGGAAAGGCCCUGCUUGCAGGGUACUCGAGUGGCGAACGGGUGAGUAACACGUGGGUGAUCUGCCCUGCACUUCGGGAUAAGCCUGGGAAACUGGGUCUAAUACCGGAUAGGAGCCAUUUUUAGUGUGAUGGUUGGAAAGUUUUUUCGGUGUAGGAUGAGCUCGCGGCCUAUCAGCUUGUUGGUGGGGUAAUGGCCUACCAAGGCGGCGGCGGGUAGCCGGACUGAGAGGGUGGACGGCCACAUUGGGACUGAGAUACGGCCCAGACUCCGACGGGAGGCAGAAGGGGGGAAGAUUGAACAAGGGGCGCAAGCCUGAUGCAGCGACGCCGCGUGGGGGAUGACGGCCUUCGGGUUGAAAACUCCUUUCGCUAGGGACGAAGCUUUUUGUGACGGUACCUAGAGAAGAAGCACCGGCUAACUACGUG